CAGCUGCCUGGGAGGGGCAGGGUACCACAGAGGAGGUGGCAUCCCGAGAAUGGAUGCCACCACCAGUUGGUCCCUUCCAGAGCUCCGUCUGAACUCCACCAGCCUUGCUUCUGGCCUCACCCUGCAGGUCCAGGGGACACCUCUACUUGUGAGUUCAGUCCAUGGGCACUGCACACUCUCUCGGCCCCAAAUUGAAUCCCUCUUCCUCACCCAACAUUCUCCAUUUCAACAAAUGGCAGUGUUGUGGGUAAAAUAACACCUCCUGCAGAGACGUUGACAUCCUCAUCCCUGACAUCGCACCCAGGCCUGUCCAGCCCCAGGGGAUGCCCAGAAACGCACACCCAGGCAGCCAGUGCAGAACUGGGCCCUGCAGUAAGCUCAGGACUUGGGGCUGCUCAUUUCUGGAGCCAGACUGAGGCUCCUGGAAGAGGACACAGCAGAGGCCUCCAGUGACUGUGAGCCCUGCAUGCCACUCCUCCUGCUUGGGCAGAGAGCCAGACUGAAGGUCAGGGGCAGCGUCCAGGGUAAAUAUCGAGGUGGACAGUUGCUGGAUGGUAUGGCGAAAGUACAUUAAGCCUUGUAACAAACUGCCAAACUGUCUCCCAAAGUGGCUGCACCAUUUUGCAGUUCCGCCAGCAACGCAUGAGACUUCCUGUUGCUGCAUAUCCACCCCAGCAUUUGGCGUUGUCAGUGUUUUGGAUUUGGGCCAUUCUUACAGAGGCAGGGUCUCGCCAUGUUGCCUAGGUUGAUCUCAAGCUCUUCGGCCCAAGCGAUGCUCCCACCUUGACCCCCGAAUAUGCUGGGAUUAUAACCAACAAUCACCACGCCUAGCCUGGUUUUACGGAUUUUACAGAGACAGAUGUUACAGUCCAAAACCAUGAAUCGACACAU